AUUGAACGCUGGCGGCAUGCUUUACACAUGCAAGUCGAACGGCAGCACGGGAGCUUGCUCCUGGUGGCGAGUGGCGAACGGGUGAGUAAUGCAUCGGAACGUACCCAGUAGUGGGGGAUAGCCCGGCGAAAGCCGGAUUAAUACCGCAUAUUUCCUGAGGGAGAAAGCGGGGGACCUUCGGGCCUCGCGCUACUGGAGCGGCUGAUGUCGGAUUAGCUAGUUGGUGAGGUAAAGGCUCACCAAGGCGACGAUCCGUAGCUGGUCUGAGAGGAUGAUCAGCCACACUGGGACUGAGACACGGCCCAGACUCCUACGGGAGGCAGCAGUGGGGAAUUUUGGACAAUGGGGGCAACCCUGAUCCAGCCAUGCCGCGUGGGUGAUGAAGGCCUUCGGGUUGUAAAGCCUCGUCGAGGGGACGGAAG
rnacentral:rRNA from 1 species